CAUCAGGCCUCUACCUGGUCCUGCCCUGCAGCUCAGAGCUAGACCUUCUGGAGUGGAAUUGUUCUGCUAAUCACCUAUAAUUCCUGGGAUUUACUCACUGCCUGCCUUCUGAGGAGCUCAAAAACCAUUUGUAGAUCCUGCUGAUAAAAUGGCUGCCCCGAGGUCAGGGAGCUGUCAGCGGGGGCAAGACCUCCCCAGCACCCCAGACAGUUCAGCUGUGAGUAGCCAGUUUGCUGAGUCACUGGGGAAGGAGCACCUCAGGCUGACAACUGGUUGGAUCCCACUGCAUCACAGCUCGCCUCUCCACCCCUCAGAGAGAUGAGACUUGACAUCAACCGCCCCCACCGCUCGCAGGGCCAGGAGAACCAUGGUUUUGUGGUGGCAUACUUAGCCUUCCUCAGCCAGAACCUGCCAUUGCGCCAGGGCAGGGAAAGCCUACCCAGUCAACUAAAGAAAAGGGCAGGCAUUUAGUCCAAAUGGGCAGACUCAGGAGAGAGUCAGGCCAGCAGGGGACAGGGAGCAGCCACAGCCCAGAUGGCCACCCCAGACAAGCAAGCGAGCGACUCUCCAGGGGCUGAGAUGCCAGGCGGCCACUGAUCUCUU